AUUGAACGCUGGCGGCAUGCCUUACACAUGCAAGUCGAACGGCAGCGCGGACUUCGGUCUGGCGGCGAGUGGCGAACGGGUGAGUAAUACAUCGGAACGUACCCUGCUGUGGGGGCUAACUAGUCAACAGAUUAGCUCAUACCGCAUACGAGCAGAGGGUGAAAGUGGGGGAGCGCAAGGCCUCCCGCCGUAGGACGGGCCGAUGUCGGAUUAGCUAGUUGGUGGGGUAAAGGCCCACCAAGGCGACGAUCCGUAGCUAGUCUGAGAGGAUGAUCAGCCACACUGGGACUGAGACACGGCCCAGACUCCUACGGGAGGCAGCAGUGGGGAAUUUUGGACAAUGGGGGCAACCCUGAUCCAGCAAUGCCGCGUGGGUGAAGAAGGCCUUCGGGUUGUAAAGCACUUUUGUCGGGAAAGAAAACGCGCUGGUUAAUACCUGGCUGUUAUGACGGUACCGGAAGAAUAAGCACCGGCUAACUACGUG
rnacentral:rRNA from 1 species